rnacentral:lncRNA from 1 species
AAAACAUUAAAGAGCCACGGUAUGGAAAAGCCUUGGUCUGACAAGCGAAAAACGUCGAUAAGACGCACAUCAGUAAAUAAAAGUUCAAACCAUAACCAGGAUGGAGUACCACAAACCCCACAUAAAACUUCUGUGGUGUAAGUAUGAUGCGUUAAUAAAAUCACAUUUGGUGGGGAAUGAGUAGUAUAAACGGCCGCGAAGGUUACAAAUAUGAUGUUAAUUGUCUUCUAAUUGUUGAAAUUAUAAUUCUUAAAAUUUUAAAUCAAAAGUUACCCACAUCUAAAAAUAAAGUUACGGACAGCCUGCUUAGUUUCGAUAAAAAAGUUACGGACAUCUUAUGCAUUUUUUAAAGUUGACCUUGCGCUUUAGUGAACUCUAUAUUAACAAAUUUAUGGUAAUUGUU